UACGGAGGGUGCGAGCGUUGUCCGGAAUCACUGGGCGUAAAGGGCGCGUAGGCGGCACUGUUAGUCAGGCGUGAAAGUCCUGGGCUCAACCUGGGAACUGCGCUUGAUACGGCAGAGCUAGAGGAUGGAAGAGGCUCGCGGAAUUCCCAGUGUAGAGGUGAAAUUCGUAGAUAUUGGGAAGAACACCGGUGGCGAAGGCGGCGAGCUGGUCCAUUACUGACGCUGAGGCGCGACAGCGUGGGGAGCAAACAGG
rnacentral:rRNA from 1 species